rnacentral:rRNA from 1 species
CGGCGAGUGGCGAACGGGUGAGUAAUGUAUCGGAACGUACCAUUCAGUGGGGAUAACGCAGCGAAAGUUUGCGCUAAUACCGCAUAUUCUGUGCGCAGGAAAGCAGGGGAUCGCAAGACCUUGCGCUGAUUGAGCGGCCGAUUAUCAGAUUAGCUAGUUGGUGAGUAAGGCUCACCAAGGCGACGAUCUGUAGCGGGGUCUGAGAGGAUGAUCCGCCACACUGGAACUGAGACACGGUCCAGACUCCUACGGGAGGCAGCAGUUGGGGAAUUUUGGUACAAUGGGCGCAAGCCUGAUCCAGCCAUGCCGCGUGAGUGAAGAAGGCCUUUCGGGGUUGUAAAGCUCUUUCGGCCGGGAAGAAAUCGUAUGGGUUAAUACCCUGUGCGGAUGACGGUACCGGCAUAAGAAGCACCGGCUAACUACGUG